GGGUGCCUACGGGAGGCAGCAGUGGGGAAUAUUGCACAAUGGGGGAAACCCUGAUGCAGCGACGCCGCGUGAGUGAAGAAGUAUUUCGGUAUGUAAAGCUCUAUCAGCAGGGAAGAAGAAAGACGGUACCUGACUAAGAAGCCCCGGCUAACUACGUGCCAGCAGCCGCGGUAAUACGUAGGGGGCAAGCGUUAUCCGGAUUUACUGGGUGUAAAGGGAGCGUAGACGGCUGUGCAAGUCUGAAGUGAAAGCCCGGGGCUCAACCCUGGGACGGCUUUGGAAACUGUGGAGC
rnacentral:rRNA from 1 species